rnacentral:lncRNA from 1 species
CUACAAACAAAUAAUUAUGUUAUCAUUAACUUUUUUUGCGAUGCAACUAUCUUUAAGAAUGAAGCAUAUGUUGCUUGCAUUUAAAAUUGGAUGACGAUACAAAAGCAUGGGAGACGAUCUUAUUAUCCUUAAAUAGGCUAAAAAAAUUGUCAUUUAUCACAUCUGAGUCUUUUGCGAUUCAUAAAGAGCUAUCCAAGCAGCA